CCUACGGGGUGCACCAGUGGGGAAUGUUGCACAAUGGGCGCAAGCCUGAUGCAGCCAUGCCGCGUGUAUGAAGAAGGCCUUCGGGUUGUAAAGUACUUUCAGCGGGGAGGAAGGCGAUAAGGUUAAUAACCUUGUCGAUUGACGUUACCCGCGGAAGAAGCACCGGCUAACUCCGUGCCAGCAGCCGCGGUAAUACGGAGGGUGUAAGCGUUAAUCGGAAUUACUGGGCGUAAAGCGCACGCAGGCGGUCUGUCAAGUCGGAUGUGAAAUCCCCGGGCUUAACCUGGGAACUGCAUUCGAAACUGGCAGGCUAGAGUCUUGUAGAGGGGGGUUGAAUUCCAGGUGUAGCGGUGAAAUGCGUAGAGAUCUGGAGGAAUACCGGUGGCGAGGGCGGCCCCCUGGACAAAGACUGACGCUCAGGUGCGAAAGCGUGGGGAGCAAACAGGAUUAGAUACCCGAGUAGUC
rnacentral:rRNA from 1 species